CACCGGCACCUCGAGUGGUAGCCACUAUUAUUGGGCCUAAAGCAUCCGUAGCCUGUUCUGUAAGUUUUCGGUUAAAUCUAUGCGCUCAACGUAUAGGCUGCCGAAAAUACUGCAGAACUAGGGAGUGGGAGAGGUAGACGGUACUCGGUAGGAAGGGGUAAAAUCCUUUGAUCUAUUGAUGACCACCUGUGGCGAAGGCGGUCUACCAGAACACGUUCGACGGUGAGGGAUGAAAGCUGGGGGAGCAAACCGG
rnacentral:rRNA from 1 species